rnacentral:rRNA from 1 species
UAUUGCACAAUGGGGGAAACCCUGAUGCAGCAACGCCGCGUGAGUGAAGAAGUAUUUCGGUAUGUAAAGCUCUAUCAGCAGGGAAGAAGAAAGACGGUACCUGACUAAGAAGCCCCGGCUAACUACGUGCCAGCAGCCGCGGUAAUACGUAGGGGGCAAGCGUUAUCCGGAUUUACUGGGUGUAAAGGGAGCGUAGACGGCCAGACAAGUCAGAAGUGAAAGCCCAGGGCUCAACCCUGGGACUGCUUUUGAAACUGCCGGGCUGGAGUGCAGGAGAGGUAAGCGGAAUUCCUAGUGUAGCGGUGAAAUGCGUAGAUAUUAGGAGGAACACCAGUGGCGAAGGCGACUUUCUGGACAGUAACUGACGUUGAGGCACGAAAGUGUGGGGAGCAAACAGG